UACGUAGGGGGCAAGCGUUGUCCGGAAUCAUUGGGCGUAAAGCGCGUGUAGGCGGCCCGGUAAGUCCGCUGUGAAAGUCCAGGGCUCAACCCUGGAAUGCCGGUGGAUACUGUCGGGCUCGAGUCCGGAAGAGGCGAGUGGAAUUCCUGGUGUAGCGGUGAAAUGCGCAGAUAUCAGGAGGAACACCGAUGGCGAAGGCAGCUCGCUGGGACGGUACUGACGCUGUGACGCGAAAGCGUGGGGAGCAAACAGG
rnacentral:rRNA from 1 species